rnacentral:rRNA from 1 species
CCUACGGGAGGCAGCAGUGGGGAAUAUUGCACAAUGGGCGAAACCCUGAUGCAGCGACGCCGCGUGAGGGAAGAAGUAAUUCGGUACGUAAAGCUCUAUCAGCAGGGAAGAAAAUGACGGUACCUGAGUAAGAAGCCCCGGCUAACUACGUGCCAGCAGCCGCGGGAAUACGUAGGGGGCAAGCGUUAUCCGGAUUUACUGGGUGUAAAGGGGGCUUAGACGGUGAGCCAGGUCUGAAGUGAAAUGCCGCAGCUUAACUGCGGACCUGCUUUGGAAACUGGCGAACUAGAGUGCGGGAGGGGUAAGCGGAAUUCCGGGUGUAGCGGUGAAAUGGGUAGAUAGUAGGAGGAACACCGGUGGCGAAGGCGGCUUACUGGACCGUAACUGACGUUGAGGCUCGAAAGCGUGGGGAGCAAAAAGGAUUAGAUACCCUGUAGUC